UCCAGGCCGUAAGCAGUGAGUCAGGUU
rnacentral:piRNA from 1 species